UAUUGGUCAAUGGGCGGAAGCCUGAACCAGCCAUCCCGCGUGAAGGAAGAAGGCCUUAUGGGUUGUAAACUUCUUUUCUGUUUGAAGAAUAAGCUUGUCGAGACAAGUGAUGCCGGUAGGACAGGAAUAAGCAUCGGCUAACUCCGUGCCAGCAGCCGCGGUAAUACGGAGGAUGCAAGCGUUAUCCGGAUUUAUUGGGUUUAAAGGGUGCGCAGGUGGUUUAAUAAGUCAGUGGUGAAAGUCUGCCGCUUAACGGUAGGAUUGCCAUUGAUACUGUUGGACUUGAAUAUGGAUGAGGUAGGCGAAAUGUGUAGUGUAGCGGUGAAAUGCUUAGAUAUUACACAGAACACCGAUUGCGAAGGCAGCUUACUAAUCCAUGAUUGACGCUGAGGCACGAAAGCGUGGGGAUCAAACAG
rnacentral:rRNA from 1 species